GCACAUGCCUGUAAUUCCAGUACUCAAGAGGCUGAGGCACGGGAAUCUCUUGCACCUAGGAGGCAGAGGUUGCAGUGAGCCGACUGUGCCACUGCACUCCAGCCUGGGUGACGGAGUGAGACUCUGUCUCAAAAAAAAAAAAGGAAAAAAAAUUUAGCUGGGUGUGGUAGUGCACACCUGUAGUCCCAGCUACUUGCGAGGCUGAGGUGGGAGGAUCACUUGAGACUGGGAGGUUGAGGCUGCAGUGAGCCAUGAUCGUACCAUUGCAUUCAUGAUCUGCCUGGGCGGCAGAGAAAGACCCCAUCUAUAAAUAAUAAUAAUAACAAAUGUUUUAUAUUGAUUACAUGUUGAAAUGAUAACUCUUUAGAUAUGAGUUAAAAUACAUUAUUAAAAUUAUCAUCUCCUUUUUUAACUUUGUUAAUGUGUCUACUAGAGAAUUAAAAUUUACAAAUGUGGCUCACAUUACAUUUCUUUUGGGCUAUGCUGAUAAAGAUCAGUUUGCUACUACCUAUGAUCAAUGUGCUGCAACCAUAAAUCCAUGUGGGACAAACAGUCUGAUUACUGUUCUAUCUUUCUGUCUUAUUGGAGUAACUGGGCCCACCUUGUCUCUGAUAGUCAAUCACUGUUUCUGAUUGUCACUGUGAGUUCCUAUUACUACAGUUAGUAUUACAGACUGUAAUGUAAUGGCAACAUCUCAUCUCACUGUCAUCCCUAGUCUUUAGAAGCUACCACAGAACUUUUCAAAGAUGCUGGUGUUCUUACUGAUGAAUUUUUAAAUAUUUUGUAAGGGAAGUGUCCUCUGUGCCUUAGGGGAUGGAUUCAGCAGAUUAUAUAAUAUAUAAUAGAUACAUUUCAAUUUCCCACCUCAACAAACUUCCAAUUCUUUGAUUCUUUCUACAAUAUGCUAGGGAAGUUCUGGCAUACUCAGCCUCAUUAGAUGUAGGGCAUUGUUAUAUCAAAGAGUGAAUUACUUAACCAGGCAAACUAUUAGAGCCAUUCCCAGCUGCUUAAGCUACAUCUUGAAUCCCAGGUGAAUUCACCUAUAUUGCCAAAUUUGAUCCAAUCCAGCUAGAUUUCAUCCUGCUUGGUCUACUACUCUUGGAAUCUAUUCCCAAACAUGUUCACCAGGUUUCUGCUAAUAUAACAAAAAGACAUUGUAAUUCUUUUGGAGUAUAACUAUGUCCUUCUGGAGAAGAUCUUUCAUUUUUUUCCUCUAGGCCAUAAGAUUUCUCCUGGCCCUGGAGGCAAUGAGAUAAGGUGGGGCUAGGUCUUUAGGACAAUAGACUGCCUCUUGCAAGGCAACUACCCUAUGUGAAAUAGAAAAGUCUAUGCAAGGGACUACUUUCUCCAGUAAGGGUAAUUCAGGGGCACUUAGGGGGCCAAUUAUCUCAGUUUGUUUGUUUGUUUGUUUGUUUGUGACAGAGUCUCACUCUGUCACCCAGGCUGGAGUGCAGUGGUGAGAUCUCAGCUCACUGCAACCUCUGCCUCCCAGGUGCAAGCAAUUCUUGUGUCUCAGCCUCCUGAGUAGCUGGGAUCACAGGUGCGUGCCAUCAUGCUCGGCUAAUUUUUGUAUUUUUAGUAGAGAUGGAGUUUCACCAUGUUGGCCAAGCUGGUCUCGAACACCUGGCCUCAAGCCAUCCACCCGACUCAGCUUCCGAAAGUGCUGGAGUUACAAGCUUGAGCCACUGCUCCCAGCCAGGAAUUUCAGUUUCAUUUGUUUCAUUCCAAAUGUCCUCUUCCCAAUCUCAGGGCCCAAUUCUAGCACAGACUAAUGUUAGAUAAGGUUGUACAUUUAAGAGGCUUUACAAAUCUUCAACCCCCACAAUUAUAUCUUAGGCGUGACCCACAGCUUUGUCUUCCCUGAGGCUUCAUGAGAUAAGGAAUUCCUAUAAGGCCUCCGUAGAAACUUUCCGGUUCUACACCCAUGUCUUGAGUUGCAAGUUCAAGGUUCAAAGCUUCUCUCUCUUUCUCUCUCUCUCUCUCUUUCAAACUCUCCAGCACAGUCAGAACUAGCCAGCCCAUCCUGUAAUUACUGUAAUCACCUCUGACUGUUGCCAUAACAGUGGUCACAUAAAACUGCACCUUCCACUAGCUCUCCAUCCUACAUCACCAUCAGUAAUAAUGUGAGUCAUCUUAAUGCUACUUCAUGCCACACCAUGUCCCAUUUCCAUCCACCAUAAGGUCAUUUAUGCCUUCAUUACAUAAGUGAGAAACCUAGUUCCCAAAUCUCAUUUUCAAGGUUGUUCCUAGGACCACUUCAGUUACCAACUAUUGCAUUAGUCAGGGUCUCAGCAGGAAGCAGCAUCUACACCAGAUGGUUUAGAUAAAGAUAUCUUAAUGAAGAGCUAUCACAGAGGCAUGAGCAAGGUUAAGGGGGCAAAUGUGGGAUGUUAAGGAACUAAUGGCUUAGCAACUGUGUGAAGCCAUCACUACUUCAAGGGCUGAGAGCAGAAGCAAAUAAUGUCACCAAAGGAAGAAGUCAGAUGUAGAGUCAUGAAGGAAGAGACACAGGGCAGGAGUUGCAGUCCAUGGAGGGUCACAGCCACCGCCAGAGAUGUAAUAUACAUGCAGGGAAGAACUACUCCAACCUCACUGCCAAAAACAAUCGGAAGCUGGAAGACAAAGGAGCCUAGGCAGUGCGUUCCAGAAAAAGGGCGAGUAUCCUGGGCCACAAGCAGCAUAAAGAAGGGCUGAGAAUGCAUUUCAGGUAGGAGGGAAAAAGCUCUCCAGCUCUCCAGGUAUGGCACUAUACAUGAACCAUGUCCCUUAAUCCUUCUAACCUAAUAUUAAUAAGGCAUAAACUAUUAUUAUCCCCAUUUUACGGAUGAGGACAUACGCUCAGAGAAUAGCUUGCUCAAGAUUAUACAAAUAGUCAAUGGUGGGGCUGCAACUUGACCUGGGCAAUUUGAACUUUAGUUUUUGUAUCAUGCUGAAUGAGAUGAGUUAGGCUAGAGUAGAGGGUUCCACUAGAGGAGAAGUGAAGACAUUUGGGGCCAAAGCAUGGAAGACUUGAAAUCUGCUCUAAGGAAUUCUGUAGCUUUCUCUCCAAGUUGUAGGCAGGUACCACAACUGUUCUGCAGUGCUUAAUCAAGCCCUGCAGGAAUUAGAAAAUUUAUUCACCUUUGCUGCUGCUUCUUAGUAACCUGGUCCAGAGAGUCAGCCUUGAAGAACCUGCCUUGUGCUCCUGAGUGUGGAAGAUGUUGGCUGUUUGUGCUCCCCAUUAUCCAUAUCCUUUUAUGGAAUUUCUAUAGAUGAAGCCAAGACUGAAGCCAACACAGAAGAAAGGCGAACUGAGACAUGACCCACGUCACAUCCCUAUAACAGGCUUGAGCCUUCAUCCAGCCAUAGCCACAUCCUGGCAGAUCCCUGGACUUUUUGUUACAUUCUAUAAGCCUGAGGAGUGAGUCCCAAGAUGGAAGAAACCUAUGUGAUGGCAGAGGGUGAGACGCCCCGGAGAAGAGGAAUAUAUCCCCUGGGAUGAGAGACAAGAUAAACGCUUGAAUCAACACACUCCUCCACAGAGAGUCCAUUUGCUUUCCCGACAAACUGCAUUGGAUUGGAUUUCACAGGCUGCUGAGGCAAUGCAAGGAGACAGCUUUCAGACUCCUGGAGAGAGGAGGCUGCAGGAGCGUGAUCAGGACAACAGCCACGUGGCCCAUGCUCUCCAGCAACACCCAAGGAGCCCAGGAUUCAGAGCAGGGCCGGUGGUGGGGAAAGCCCUGAACGAGAAUCCCACACUGGCUGCAUGACCUCAGAUGAGGCACCUUGACCCUGAAUCUCAGUUUCCCUACCUGUAAAAUAGGAUGAUAAUUUUUGCUGGUGUGGCAGAGUGGAAACUAAGUCUGGGAGUGUUUGGUUUGAUUAUUAGAAGAAACAGGCCAGGCACAGUGGCUCACGCCUGUAAUCCCAGCAUUUUGAGAGGCUGAGGUGGGUGGAUCACUUGAGGUCAGGAGUUCAAGACCAGCCUGGCCAACAUGGCGAAAUCCUGUCUCUACUAAAACUACAAAAACUAGCUGGGUGUGGUGGUGCACACCUGUAAUCCCAGAGUAGGCUGAGGCAGGAGAAUCGCUUGAACCUGGGAGGCAGAGAUUGCAGGGAGCCAAGAUGGCUCCACUGCAUUCCAGCCCAGGCGACGGGGUGAGACCCAGUCUCACAAAAAAGAAAAAGAAGGAGAAGAAGAAGAAGAAGAGGAAACUGCCCCAUAGAGUAGGCUUUUUCAGCCUCCUCUCCCUGGGUCCUCAUAUCAGCCCUGAUUGCCAGGAAGAAGAGAGGUGACGAUUUCCUCUCACAUAGUAAGGAAAUUGUGGCUCAGCGAUAAACUCCAGCUAGCUUGGGGAGUGAGAGGAAUGCCAGGAGUCAGUCGUGGGUGAUGGGCAGCGCCGGGCUCUCUAGGAGCUCCUGUGGUCGUCUGGCUUUAUCCCUCCUCAAAGAGCUGGGAGUAGGGGAGUGAGGCACUUGCCUCAGGCAUGCAAAAUGUAAGGGGGUGCCAAAAAACUCAGUGAUCAAGAUAAAUAAUAUCUUAAUGUGAUAUUUUUAAAAAUCAAAAUUGGUGCAAAAAAUCCAUAAUGAACAAAAUAUCUAAUUUUUAAAUAAAGAUAAGAUCAAUCCUUAUCUCAUAACACAAGCUGUCUCUUCUGCCUGAGCACAGAGGCAGGAAUGCCCUGGGAUGGAGGAAAUACUGCGUGGGACUCCAUAUUGGGGUUUUAUUCAUCUUGGCCUCUCAGUUCAGGGGGUGACUCUUUUUUUUCUCUGACCUCCAGCUUUCCCACCAGAGGCAGGAGAGCCAAGCAAUCUGCCCUUAGGCUCUGGAGUAAGGUAAAGCUGGAUGUUAAUCCCUGCUCCAUUACUUAUUAGCUAGGGGACCUUUGGAUAGUAGCUUGGAAUAGUGGCUUAACAUCCUGUAAACCUCAGUUUUCUUUCUUUUCUUUUUUUUUUUUUUUUUUUGAGAUGGAGCCUGGCUCUGUCACCCACGCUGGAGUGCAAUGGCGUGACCUCUGCUCACUGCGACUUCCGCCUCCCGGGUUCAAGUGAUUCUCCUGCCUCAGCCUCCUCAGUAGCUGGGAUUACGGGUGCGUGCCACCACGCCUGGCUAGUUUUUUGUAUUUUUAGCAGAGACAGGGUUUCACCAUGUUGGCCAGGCUUGUCUCAAACUCCUGACCUCAGGUGAUCCACCCACCUUGGCCUCCCAAAGUGCUGGGAUUACAGGCGUGAGCCUCCACGCUCGGCCUUAAACCUCAGUUUUCUAGUCUGUAAACCUCCAUUUUCUAAUCUGUACCUGCCUGGCUGGGUUACUGUGAAGAUUAAAUGAGAAAAUGUGCACAUGGCUUUUAACACAGGACCUCCGCCAUCAUAAGUGCUCAAUAAACAUUACUUACUGUUUUUACCUCUAAAUUAAGUAUCAUUGUCCUCAGUCCCAAAGUGAGACAAAUUAUAUGCUAAAGAGAUAUGAUAGCACCUAGAAGGAAGGAGAAAAAAAAUCAAGCACAGUGUCCCAUUCCACUGCUGGAAGCCACCAGGAAGACAGUACUAUCUACACAACUCUCUGUCUCCUAAAGGAAUUCUGGGCAUAGUCUGGGUGUUUCAGCCAGGCCCCUCCCAAGAGAAGUUCAAGGUUGAACCCAACCUGCUGGACCACAGGGAGUCUCCUAAUCCCAGCCACACAUUCCCCAGAGCAGGUGCCACAAGCCCAGAGACAAGUCACCAUGGGAAGGUGGAUGUCAGGGCAGCUGAGCCCUGAGGGUCUUGGUAAUGAAAAACUCCCCACCAACACUAUCACUGGUCCUGCUUCCCUUUUUGAAUUGGAUGCUAAGGAGCCUAGAGCUAAAUUUACAGCCCAUCUUUAGCAAGCACAUAAUACUUCACUUCAUACAUUUGGUGUGGAAACCUCCAUCUACAAUUCCUGCUGUUAUUUUCUGUUUGUCUCAUUUCCUCUCACUUGUUUUAAUGUACUUUACGCUGCCUUAAAUCCAUUUUGGAACAAGGUGGGGAAUAGAUAAAUACAUCCUAACUGUAUUUAAACAGCUUUCCAUUGUAUAUGUAUAUAUUCUUGUGUAUCUCUUUUCUAAAAAUUACUGCCUGCUGAUGCCUGCAAAUGGCUGUGUUUGCGUGUGCUAAUUGUGUAACUGACUGGAUUUAAAAUUGAGAGCUUUGAUGAGUACCCAGGAAGCAAGGAAACAGGGUGUUUUCAUUUUCAGUAUAAAAGGGAGGGUUGGGCCCAGGUGUCUGCCUUAAGAAUAGUCAGUUUAAGGCAAUGGUUCUCAACUGGGGCCAGUUUUCCCUCCCAGGGGGGCGCUUUUGGCAAUCUCUGGAGGCAUUUUUGGUUAUCACAACUUAGAGGGCAGGCAUCCGGCAUUGCUACUGGCAUCUAGCACGUAGAGGCCAGGGAUACUGCUAAACAUUCUACAAUGCACAGGACAGGCCCCUCAACCAAGAGGCACCCGGGCUAAAUCAUCAAUAGUGAUGAGGCUGAGAAACCCUGACUUCAAGGUAGAGGAGUUCUAGAAGGAAGAAGGAGCAGAGGCUUGCAGGUACCAAGGCUGCUCUGGGAACCCUCAGGGCAGCCUUCCUGAACCGGGCCAGGAAGAGGAAACAGUGGAGAGGGCCCCAGCUCCUCAGUUACCAGGAGAACCCGGAAUCUCUUACUGGGCCAUGAGAGAAACAAGAACAACUCAUGAAUGAAACAGAUUCCUCAGGUGUCCAGGAGGAGUGAGGCUUUUGUUGUCUAGGAAGGGGGAGCCUUUCAUCUGACACAAGAUAGCUUUUUUUUUUUUUUUUUUUUUUUUUUUUUAAGACAGGGUCUCACUCUGUCAUCCAGGCUGGAGUGCAAUGGUGCAAUGUAGGCUUACUGCAGCCUCAACCUCUGAGGACCAUCUGCUACACUCAGUCCACCAAUUCAAAUGCUAAUCUCUCUGGGGCCCAAGGGAUCCUCCUACCUCAGCCUCCUGAGUAGCUGAGAGCACAAGUGUGCACCGCCAUGCAUGGCUUAUUUAUUUAUUUAUUUUUGUAGAGAUGAGGGUUUUCCUGUGUUGCCCAGGCUAGUCUUGAACUCCUGGGCUGAAGCGAUUCUCCUGCCUUGGCUCCCCAAACUGCUGGGUUGAAGGUGUGAGCUGCUGCACUUGACCUCAGCAGCAGAUGUCUUCUAGUUGCCCCUGCUCCUCCUCCACUGAGAUCUCUGCCUCAAGAAGCUUCCAGUUUUGUUCAGCCCCAGCAGAGGAUAAGAAGGCAAAGAAAACUGAAGAAGGGACAUUGAUUUCCUGGCCCCUCUCCAUGGGGCUGCCUCAGGUCAGCUGAGUUCCUCCACUGAAGUCACAGCUCCUCUCAAAGGGUCCCUCUCCAUAAUAAUAUUUCCUUACAGACUCUGGUAAUGACUUAAUGUCAUCUUCUUUCAUCCUUCUAGGUUAGGGAUGGUCACAGCCCCCCAUUUGACUAGUGCUGGCAUAUUAUGCCAUGUCUCAUGGUUUCCCCAUAGCCUGCUGUAUUAGGAUUCUCCAGAGAAACAGAACCAAGAGGAGACAGAUAGAUAGAUAGAUAGAUAGAUAGAGAGAUAGAUAGGUAGAUAGAUAGAUAAUAGAUAAUUAGAUAGAUAUAUGAUAUAUUAUUAGAUAGAUGAUAUAGAUAGAUAUAUAAUUAGGUAGAUAGAUGAUAGAUACACAGAUGGACAGAUAGAUUACACAGAUACUAGAUAGGUAGAUAGAUGAUAGAAAGAUAAAUAGAUUACAUAGAUGAUAAAUAGAUGAGAUAGAUAGAGAGAUAGAUAGAUAAUAAUUAGAUAGAUAUAUGAUAUAUUAUUAGAUAGAUGAUAUAGAUAGAUAUAUAAUUAGGUAGAUAGAUGAUAGAUACACAGAUGGACAGAUAGAUUACACAGAUACUAGAUAGGUAGAUAGAUGAUAGAAAGAUAAAUAGAUUACAUAGAUGAUAAAUAGAUAUGAUAGAAAGAUAAAUAGAUUACAUAGAUGAUAAAUAGAUGAGAUAGAUAGAUAUAGAUAGAUAGAUAGAUAGAUAGAUAGAUAGAUAGAUAAUAGAUAGUGAUAUAGUUUGGCUGUGUCCCCACCCAAAUCUCAUCUUGAAUUGUAGCUCCCAUAAUCCCCACAUGUCAUGGGAGGGACCCAGUGCGAGGUAAUUGAAUCAUGGGAGUGGGUUUUUCUCAAGCUGUUCUUGUUAAUCAGUCUCACGAGAUCUGAUGGUUUAUAAAGGGUAGUUCCCUUGCACACUCUCUUUUGCCUGCCACCAUGUAAGAUGUGCCUUUGCUCCUCCUUUGCCUUCCACUAUGAUUUGAGGCCUCCCCAGCCAUGUGGAACCAUGAGUCCAUUAAAUCUCUUUUUCUUUAUAAAUUACCCAGUGUCAGGUAUUUCUUCAUAGCAGUAUGAAAAUGGACUAAUCCAGAUAGAUAGAUAGAUAGAUGAUAG
rnacentral:lncRNA from 1 species